rnacentral:rRNA from 1 species
GACGAACGCUGGCGGCGUGCCUAAUACAUGCAAGUUGAGCGAUGAAGAUUGGUGCUUGCCCCAAUUUGAAGAGCAGCGAACGGGUGAGUAACGCGUGGGGAAUCUGCCUUUGAGCGGGGGACACCAUUUGGAAACGAAUGCUAAUACCGCAUAACAACUUUAAACAUAAGUUUUAAGUUUGAAAGAUGCAAUUGCAUCACUCAAAGAUGAUCCCGCGUUGUAUUAGCUAGUUUGUGAGGUAAAGGCUAACCAAGGCGAUGAUACAUAGCCGACCUGAGAGGGUGAACGGCCACAUUGGGACUGGGACACGGCCCAAACUCCUACGGGAGGCAGCAGUAGGGAAUCUUUGGCAAUGGACGAAAGUCUGACCGAGCAACGCCGCGUGAGUGAAGAAGGUUUUCGGAUCGUAAAACUCUGUUGGUAGAGAAGAACGUUGGUGAGAGUGGAAAGCUCAUCAAGUGACGGUAACUACCCAGAAAGGGACGGCUAACUACGUG